UACAGAGGGUGCGAGCGUUAAUCGGAAUUACUGGGCGUAAAGCGCACGUAGGUGGCUUGGCAAGUCGGGUGUGAAAUCCCCGGGCUCAACCUGGGAACUGCAUUCGAGACUGCCUUGCUAGAGUAUGGGAGAGGGAAGUGGAAUUUCCGGUGUAGCGGUGAAAUGCGUAGAUAUCGGAAGGAACAUCAGUGGCGAAGGCGACUUCCUGGACCAAUACUGACACUCAGGUGCGAAAGCGUGGGGAGCAAACAGG
rnacentral:rRNA from 1 species